rnacentral:rRNA from 1 species
UACGUAGGGGGCAAGCGUUGUCCGGAAUCAUUGGGCGUAAAGAGCGUGUAGGCGGCUUGGUAAGUCCGCUGUGAAAGUCCAGGGCUCAACCCUGGAAUGCCGGUGGAAACUGUCAAGCUUGAGUCCGGAAGAGGCGAGUGGAAUUCCUGGUGUAGCGGUGAAAUGCGCAGAUAUCAUUUGGAACGCCAAUGGUGAAAACAGGUAGCUGGGGCUGUGCUGACACUGAGACACGAAGCCAGGGAGCAAACGGG